AGUGAACGCUGGCGGUAGGCCUAACACAUGCAAGUCGAACGGCAGCACAGUAAGAGCUUGCUCUUACGGGUGGCGAGUGGCGGACGGGUGAGGAAUACAUCGGAAUCUACUUUUUCGUGGGGGAUAACGUAGGGAAACUUACGCUAAUACCGCAUACGACCUACGGGUGAAAGCAGGGGAUCUUCGGACCUUGCGCGAUUGAAUGAGCCGAUGUCGGAUUAGCUAGUUGGCGGGGUAAAGGCCCACCAAGGCGACGAUCCGUAGCUGGUCUGAGAGGAUGGUCAGCCACACUGGAGCUGAGCCACGGUCAAGACUCCUACGGGAGGCAGCAGUGGGGAAUAUUGGACAAUGGGCGCAAGCCUGAUCCAGCCAUACCGCGUGUGUGAAGAAGGCCUUCGGGUUGUAAAGCCCUUUUGUUGGGAAAGAAAAGCAGCAGGUUAAUACCCCGCUGUUCUGACGGUACCCAAAGAAUAAGCACCGGCUAACUUCGUG
rnacentral:rRNA from 1 species